GGAGGAGAGUUUGUCAGGCUACAUGUAAUGCCUGUGUUCUUUUGACAGAAAGAGAGUUUGAUCCUGACAUCCACUGUGGGGUUAUUGAUCUCGACACCAAGAAGCCCUGCACCCGGUCUUUGACAUGCAAGACACAUUCCUUAACCCAGCGCAGGGCUGUCCAGGGUAGAAGAAAACGAUUUGAUGUGUUAUUAGCCGAGCACAAAAACAAAACCAGGGAAAAGGAAUUGAUUCGCCAUCCGGACUCUCAGCAACCACCGCAGCCUCUCAGGGACCCGCAUCCCGCCCCUCCUAGAACGUCACAGGAGCCGCACCAAAACCCUCACGGAGUGAUUCCUUCCGAAUCAAAGCCUUUUGUAGCUAGUAAACCUAAACCUCACACCCCCAGUCUUCCAAGGUAAGCCAAGCCCUCCAACUCUUUCUCCCACCUUCAGAGAUGAGACUUGCAGAUACUGUAAAAUUUCAGUAUGGUCAUGAUGUUGAGAAACAUAUCUCAGGCUCACUGUGGAGAUAGUUUUUUAAGGAGUUUUACUAUG
rnacentral:sRNA from 1 species